rnacentral:rRNA from 1 species
AUUCCAGCUCCAAUAGCGUAUAUUAAAGUUGUUGCAGUUAAAAAGCUCGUAGUUGAACUUCAGACCUGGCCGGGCGGUCUGCCUCACGGUAUGUACUGUUUGGCCGGGUCUUACCUCUUGGUGAGCCGGCAUGCCCUUCACUGGGUGUGUCGGGGAACCAGGACCUUUACCUUGAGAAAAUUAGAGUGUUCAAAGCAGGCCUAUGCCCGAAUACAUUAGCAUGGAAUAAUAAAAUAGGACGUGCGGUUCUAUUUUGUUGGUUUCUAGAGUCGCCGUAAUGAUUAAUAGGGAUAGUUGGGGGCAUUAGUAUUCAGUUGCUAGAGGUGAAAUUCUUGGAUUUACUGAAGACUAACUAUUGCGAAAGCAUUUGCCAAGGAUGUUUUCAUUG